CCCCAGUUUCAGCAGAUGUCUCGCAUUGAUCAACAAAUUCCUCCCAAUGUUGGCUAUCAGCCUCAACCAGCAUACGGGUAUCCACCUCCUCAGCAGUUUCAAGGCUACCCUCCAGCGGGAUAUCCUCCUCAGCAGGCUCAAGGCUAUCCUCCAGCCGGAUAUCCUCCACCUGGUUAUCCACCUAAGUGAUUUGACUUUGUUACUCAUCCAUUUGGGAUCUUUGCGGACUUCUAUUCAAUCAGUUUGCAAGUAUUGUUGGCGUGAAGUACCAACAUGUGUAUGUUUCAACCUUGGCACUUUUAUAAAAUUUUACUUGCA
rnacentral:lncRNA from 1 species